rnacentral:rRNA from 1 species
UGAAUACGAGACGCUACGGCGUUGAAGCAGUGUAUGUCAUACUUCCAAGAAAAGCUCGCAAGGUCAUAAACGAAUAAUGCCUGUACCAUAACCGACACAGGUGGGUAGGUAGAGUAUACUAAGGGGCGCGAGAUAACUCUCUCUAAGGAACUCGGCAAAAUGACUCCGUAACUUCGGGAGAAGGAGUGCCUUAUUUUAUAAGGUUGCAAUAACAAGAUCCAAGCAACUGUUUAUCAAAAACACAGGUCUCCGCUAAGUCGUAAGACGAUGUAUGGGGGCUGACGCCUGCCCAGUGCCAGAAGGUUAAAGAAGUUGGUUAGCAAUUGCAAAGCUGAUAACUGAAGCCCUGGUGAACGGCGGCCGUAACAAUAACGGUCCUAAGGUAGCGAAAUUCCUUGUCGGGUAAGUUCCGACCCGCACGAAAGGCGUAAUGAUUUGGAUACUGUCUCAGAGAGGGGCUCGGUGAAAUAGACUUGUCUGUGAAGAUGCGGACUACCUGCACCUGGACAGAAAGACCCUAUGAAGCUUUACUGUAACUUGAAAUUGAAACUGGACUUUACUUGCGCAGGAUAGGUGGGAGGCGUUGAGAAUAUUCUUGCGGGAAUAUUGGAGCCAUCGGUGAGAUACCACUCUUGUCAUGUUAGGUUUCUAACUUGGUAUCAUGAUCUGGUCCAAGAACAGUUUCAGGCGGGCAGUUUGACUGGGGCGGUCGCCUCCUAAACGGUAACGGAGGCGUACAAAGGUUUCCUCUGAACGGGUAGAAAUCGUAUCUAGAGUGUAAAGGCAUAAGGAAGCUUGACUGUGAGACCUACAAGUCGAGCAGGGACGAAAGUCGGUCUUAGUGAUCUGACGGUGCUGAGUGGAAAGGCCGUCACUCAACGGAUAAAAGUUACUCUAGGAUAACAGGCUGAUCUCCCCCAAGAGUUCACAUCGACGGGGAGGUUUGGCACCUCGAUGUCGGCUCAUCGCAUCCUGGGGCGGUAGUACGUCCCAAGGGUUGGGCUGUUCGCCCAUGAAAGCGGUACGCGAGCUGGGUUCAGAACGUCGUGAGACAGUUCGGUCCAUAUCCGGUGUAGGCGUUAGAAUAUUGAGAGGAGCCUUCUUUAGUACGAGAGGACCGAGAAGGACACACCUAUGGUGUACCAGUUAUCGUGCCAACGGUAAACGCUGGGUAGCUAUGUGUGGAGUGGAUAACCGCUGAAAGCAUCUAAGUGGGAAGCCCACCCCAAGAUGAGUAUUCUCAUC